rnacentral:rRNA from 1 species
AUUGAACGCUGGCGGCAGGCAUAACACAUGCAAGUCGAACGAGUGGCGGACGGGUGAGUAAUGUCUGGGAAACUGCCUGAUGGAGGGGGAUAACUACUGGAAACGGUAGCUAAUACCGCAUACCAUCAGAUGUGCCCAGAUGGGAUUAGCUUGUUGGUGGGGUAACGGCUCACCAAGGCGACGAUCCCUAGCUGGUCUGAGAGGAUGACCAGGCACCAGUGAACUGAGACACGGUCCAGAAUUCUACGGGGGGCAGGCGUGGGGAUUAUUGCACAAUGGGCGUAAGCCUGAUGCAGCCAUGCCGCGGGUAUGAAGAAGGCCUUCGGGUUGUAAAGUACUUUCAGCGGGGAGGCGUUACCCGCAGAAGAAGCACCGGCUAACUCCGUGCCAGCAGCCGCGGUAAUUC